CCUACGGGUGGCAGCAGUGAGGAAUAUUGGUCAAUGGACGAGAGUCUGAACCAGCCAAGUAGCGUGAAGGAUGACUGCCCUAUGGGUUGUAAACUUCUUUUAUAUGGGAAUAAAACGUUCCACGUGUGGGAUUUUGUAUGUACCAUAUGAAUAAGGAUCGGCUAACUCCGUGCCAGCAGCCGCGGUAAUACGGAGGAUCCGAGCGUUAUCCGGAUUUAUUGGGUUUAAAGGGAGCGUAGGUGGAUGGUUAAGUCCGUGGUGAAAGUUUGCGGCUCAACCGUAAAAGUGCAGUUGAAACUGGCAGUCUUGAGUACAGUAGAGGUGGGCGGAAUUCGUGGUGUAGCGGUGAAAUGCUUAGAUAUCACGAAGAACUCCGAUUGCGAAGGCAGUUCACUGGACUGCAACUGACACUGAGGCUCGAAAGUGUGGGUAUCAAACAGGAUUAGAUACCCUUGUAGUC
rnacentral:rRNA from 1 species